rnacentral:rRNA from 1 species
GUAGGAAUCUUGGGAAUGGGCGAAAGCCUGACCCAGCAACGCCGCGUGGGCGAUGAAGGCCUUCGGGUCGUAAAGCCCUUUUGCAGGGGACGAUGAUGACGGUACCCUGCGAAUAAGCCACGGCUAACUACGUGCCAGCAGCCGCGGUAAUACGUAGGUGGCAAGCGUUGUCCGGAUUUACUGGGCGUAAAGGGCGUGCAGGCGGUCUGUUAAGUUCAGGGUGAAAGCUCCCGGCUCAACUGGGAGAGGUCCUUGGAUACUGGCAGACUUGAGGAGGGUAGAGGAGAGUGGAAUUCCCGGUGUAGUGGUGAUAUGCGUAGAUAUCGGGAGGAACACCAGUGGCGAAGGCGGCUCUCUGGGCCGAUACUGACGCUGAGGAGCGAAAGCGUGGGGAGCGAA